GUCAGGCCAAGGCAAACACAUGCACGCAAAACAAAAAACACACACACACAAAUGUUAAAUAACUACAUACAGGAGCAAUUUAGCUCUGCCGUAAUUUGUAGAUAGUGUCUGACAACCUUGCUGGAGAAGUUUUCACCCCAGAAAUGCUAAGUAGUCCCAGCAGGAGUCAGUCAGGAAGAGGAGAGGGGCUCUUUGCUUUUUAAUGUAUUCUUCUGGAGCCCAGAGGCCUCCGAAACGCGGCGCGUCUUCACCGCUGCGCUGUACACACACGCGCUAGCUCGCUCGCUCGCGCGCGUACGAGCGCGCGAGCUCACAUAACUGUCGGCCUCUGAAGGAGCAGCGCUAAUGGGGCUGUUUUUAAUGAGCCAGGAAGAGGAGAGUGACCCUUCGAAGAACCUGGAGAGCAUCCUGUGUCUCCUCUGCUGGGAAUCUUCUGCUACUUCUAGGAGUCAAGGAUGGAGAAGAAGAAGAAGAAAAGGAAGAAGAAGAAGCAGUCAGCCUGAGGAUAUAUAGCUGUGACAUUUUAUCUCGCAGCCCCGGGUUCAUUGUGUUGGCAGAACAUGUGGAGCUGCAGAGCAAUCUGUGAACACACGGCUAGAAGUAAUGGUUCUUCUGAUGUUCAGCGUCUCGCAGAGGAAACAAAUGCACCGACUAACCAGAUGGGACGCGCCUUAUAGUGUGUGUUAAUAUUUCGGUGGUUAAAAUAGAUGGAGAAGAAGAGGAGGAGGAGCGGAAGAAGAUCAUUUCAUACAUCAUCUUUAAAGGAAAAACUGCCAGGAGUGAUCCUCAUUAAUCCGAGCUGAAUUGUCUCUUUCUGGUUUUGUUUAAUCUUUCUUCUUUUUUUUUCUUUACACCUGUGAAGCAGUUUUAUGUUUGUAUAAAACACAUUUUCUAUAGCACA